rnacentral:lncRNA from 1 species
GUACCGACUCUUAUGAAGUACUCACCUCGGGAGUCCGCACUACGCAACCAUCGACUUGGUUCUGGACAGGGUACUCAGAGUCAUGGAUUCAAAAGAAUGUUUGACGCUUAUGGAAAAUACUUUCCGAUCGUCAACUCCAUCUAGAGAACCUAUUCUGAGCGAGGUUCUCGUAUCGAUUCUUACGAAGUAUUCACCUCGGGAAUC